CGAACGGGUGAGUAACGCGUGGGGAAUCUGCCUUUGAGCGGGGGACGAACAUUUGGAAACGAAUGCUAAUACCGCAUAAAAACUUUAAAACACAAGUUUUAAGUUUUGUAAAGAUGCAACUGCAUCACUCAAAGAUGAUCCCGCGUUGUAUUAGCUAGUUGGUGAGGUAAAGGCUCACCAAGGCGAUGAUACGUAGCCGACCUGAGAGGGUGAUCGGCCACAUUGGGACUGAGACACGGCCCAAACUCCUACGGGAGGCAGCAUG
rnacentral:rRNA from 1 species